UACGGAGGGUGCGAGCGUUGUCCGGAAUCAUUGGGCGUAAAGGGCGCGUAGGCGGCUCCUCAAGCGUGCGGUGAAAGUCAGGGGCUCAACCCCUGAUCGGCCGUGCGAACUGGGGGGCUGGAGCACUGUAGAGGCAGGCGGAAUUCCGGGUGUAGCGGUGGAAUGCGUAGAGAUCCGGAAGAACACCGGUGGCGAAGGCGGCCUGCUGGGCAGUGGCUGACGCUGAGGCGCGACAGCGUGGGGAGCAAACAGG
rnacentral:rRNA from 1 species